rnacentral:rRNA from 1 species
AACCCGCCUGCAUGAAGUUGGAAUCGCUAGUAAUCGCGGAUCAGCAUGCCGCGGUGAAUACGUUCCCGGGCCUUGUACACACCGCCCGUCACACCAUGAGAGUCGGGAACACCCGAAGUCCGUAGCCUAACCGCAAGGAGGGCGCGGCCGAAGGUGGGUUCGAUAAUUGGGGUGAAGUCGUAACAAGGUAGC